rnacentral:lncRNA from 1 species
GUCACUCGUUACAAAAAAUGCACUAUCUUGCUUUCAAUCCAAGUUCACUUUGGUGGCAGUUGAACGAGUUUGCAACCCCACACACAAAAACCAAACCCUUAAAAAUGUCAUCCCCCUCGCCGGUGGCCACGGUGGUCUCCGCCGCCGCGCUGUACGACCGCGCCAAAGCCGUGAAAGAAUUCGACGAAACCAAGGUCGGAGUCAAAGGUUUGAUCGAUUCGGGAAUCAGAACCAUCCCCCCUUUCUUCGUCCACCCGCCCGAAACCCUAGCGGACCUCAAGCGCGGAACCAAACCCGGGUCCGCGCCGGAGAUCCCCACGGUGGACCUCGCCGCCGAGGAGAGCUCCCGCGCCGCCGUGGUGGAGCAGGUCCGGCGGGCGGCGAGCACCGUGGGAUUCUUCCAGGUGGUCAACCACGGCGUCCCG